AACCUCACCUUGUCUCCACAAAAAAAAUUUUUUUAAUUAGCAAGGCAUGGUGGCAUGUGCCUAUAGUCCCAGCUACUUGGGAGGCUGAGGCAGGUGGAUCACUUGAGCCCAAUAGGUCAAGGCUGCAGUGAGCUGUGAUCGUGUCACUGCACUCCCACCUGGGCAACAGAUAUCCUGUCUCAAAAAAAUAAAAAAUAAAAAACGGUUUAAAAAGUAUCUUUAAAACUCUUUUCUCUUUAAAGUAGGAAACAAAGGUAAUGACCCAUAAUGAUGUAUGUAUUGACUAUUUACAUCAACAGCUAUCCUGCAAUUAAAGUGGGUCACAACAUACAUAAUUCUUUAAAGUAUUUUAAGUAAUAUUAUAUGCGUAUUUCUGAAGUGCUGAGUCUGUCCCAUUUGUAUAUUUUUAUUCUUUUCUCCCUCCAACACUCUUAACUAGAUUUUUUCACCCACAAUAUAUUUUAAAAUAAUGUCACAGCCUGCCUAUGAUAAGUACUUGAAUUCGUAUCUUAAGGGCAUUAGUUCAUUUGAAAAUUAAAACUGAAAGAAAAAAGAAAUAUGAUAAAAAUUUUUUCUCUUGGCUAGUUUAUUUUUUUUUAAGUAACCUAUUAUUACGUAAGACAGACACUUAUGCAGAUGAUUCCAAGGAUAUAAAAGAAAAGUAAUCUGCUUAUUUUGCAUAUCCUGGGAAAGUCAAUAAACUUGAUGAAUGGUAAAUCUGGCAUUUAACAACUACCUGGAUAGAAAAAGACCAAUAAGAAAUACCCCACAUUGUCCCAAGGAAGAAGAAAAAAACAGUUCUAUUAAAUGCACAUAAAGCAAAUAUACUGAAUCAACAUUAAAAAUUACUUUGGGUCAGCACCUUGGCUCAUGCCUAUAAUCCCCAGCACUCUGGGAGGCCAAAGUGAAAGUGCUGCCUGAGGCCAGGAGUUCGAGACCAGCCUGGGCAAUAUAGUGAGACACCAUCUUUACAAAAAAUUUAAAAUUAGCCUGGCAUGGUGGUGCAUCCCUAUAGUCCUAACUACUCAGAGGACAAGGCGGGAAGAUCGCUUGAGCCCAGGAGUUCAAGACUCAGCCUGGGUAACAAUAGUGAGACCCUAUCUCUACCAAAAAAACAAAAAAAAAGUUUGAUUCUUCUAAUAUUAUGAAGACCACUCAAAUCAAUCACUCUUACAUCUACAUUUUCUUCAGCAAUGGCAUCUCCUGCACCCAGUUUAAUGGAACCACAGGCUUCAUCUUCAGCCUGUCUAUUGCGAAAGGUCAGAGCUUGUUCCCAUCGACGCAAUGCCUCUUCAAACAAUUCCAUACCUAAAAAUUAAGAACAGAACAAUUUUAACUGUGCAAAAUCAAUGCCAAAAUAAAAUUAUUGGGGCCUGAAAUGUUUUCAUACAUUAUCACUGAUGUCACAGUCUAAUUUUGACACUAAAGAAUCAUACAUCAUUUCAUGACAGAAUCUUAGUUUCCCAAUACAUUCUCAGCCUAUGGUUCCAGUUAACCAAAAAUCAGAGACAAAAUGGCCAAUAUGUUUUCAUUUCUUUAAAAAUAUAACACAAAUGUAUAUGGUGCUCAGAAUUUUUCUAAAAGAAUAUAAUGAAUUCAUCAGAAGUUCCACAGUAAUAGCUAUUUUUUAUAGUUACACAACUAUGUUUCAAAAUAUCCCUGUAAAUUAAAAGGAAAACUAAUGGGAAGAUAGAAGAAACCAGUUUACAAAAAGCUACCGGGUUUAUAAAUUCUCAGAAGAACAAAGUAAAGCUGAAGAUGGCCCGGCGCGGUGGCUCAUGACUGUAAUCCCAGCACUUUGGGAGCCCGAGGUGGGUGGAUCACCUGAGGUCAGGAGUUCGAGACCAGCCUGGCCAACAUGGUAAAACCCCAUCUCUACUAAAAAUACAAAAAGCAGCCAGGUGUGGUGAUAUGUGCCUGUAAUCAUGGCUACUCAGGAGGCUGAUGCGGGAGAAUUGGCUUGAACCUGGGAGGCAGAGGUUGCAGUGAGCCGAGAUUGCACCACUGUACUCCAGCCUAGGUGACAGAGCAAGACUGUCUCAAAAAAAAGAAAGUAAAGCUGAAGAAAAGAUAAUAUAGAAGUCUAAAAUAAAAGCCUUUUCCACCUUUUGUCCCUUAAAGGGUGUCCUGAACCACUAUGAUCCCAACAGGUGGAUUUGGAUAAAUUGGUGGGCCAGAGUUAAAAAUCUGCAAGAUACUGAAUGAACCCAUCAAAAGUUAG
rnacentral:lncRNA from 1 species